rnacentral:rRNA from 1 species
UACGAAGGGGGCUAGCGUUGCUCGGAAUGACUGGGCGUAAAGGGCGCGUAGGCGGCCUGGUUAGUUAGAUGUGAAAUUCCUGGGCUUAACCUGGGGACUGCAUUUAAUACAGCCAAGCUUGAGUGUGGAAGAGGGUCGUGGAAUUCCCAGUGUAGAGGUGAAAUUCGUAGAUAUUGGGAAGAACACCGGUGGCGAAGGCGACUUACUGGUCCGAUACUGACGCUGAGGUACGAAAGCGUGGGGAGCAAACAGG